UACGUAGGGACCAAGCGUUGUUCGGAUUUACUGGGCGUAAAGGGUGCGUAGGUGGCGCCGUAAGUCAGGUGUGAAAUUUCGGAGCUUAACUCCGAAACUGCAUUUGAUACUGCGGUGCUUGAGGACUGGAGAGGAGACUGGAAUUUACGGUGUAGCGGUGAAAUGCGUAGAUAUCGUAAGGAAGACCAGUGGCGAAGGCGGGUCUCUGGACAGUUCCUGACGCUGAGGCACGAAGGCCAGGGGAGCAAACGGG
rnacentral:rRNA from 1 species